AGGAUUGUUGAAAUCUGAAAAUUCUCUAAACUUGCUCCGUGAAUAAUUUUUUGAGGAUGAACUGAUCUAUGAGGCCAGUGAUCCAUAAAUUACUGUAGCGUAUACAGUUAAAGUUACUGGAAAAGAAGUGAACGUGCCUGUCGAAGGGGGAAGAAAAAAACUACUGCGGCCUCUGCUGCAAGGAGGUUACAGUGAGAUUGCUGGAGAGAUUUAAAAUCAAGACGAAUGACAGUAUUACGAUGAGAGAAAGUAAGUAAAUUAUGAAUGUAUAGUAAUUAUUUCAGAAGUAAUAAAUUUUUUCCUCCUUGCUUGCUGAUCUGAUUUGUCACCUUAUAUUUAUAUUUUGUGGAAGAAUAGUAAUCAAUUAUUUUUUUGGGGAGAGGAAGGUUUCAAUGGU